UAUCUCUUUAACAAGGGCCCAACCCCAGGGCCAAGACCAGAGGGAGCUCAGUCACUACCUCCCCACCGAGCCAGCCCCGCCAGGCAGGGCUGGGAAGGAGUGGGACCGAUUCUGAGAGAGCCGCGGGGAGGAGUCCUGGCUGGGCUGAGUGUGGGGAGCUGCUUGGCAGUGCCAGAGCCCAGGCCCCAGAGCCUUGCAGGAGAGAAGGUGGACCGAGAAGGCAGGCCCCGCGAGGCGUGAGGCAGGGAGAUGGCAGACAGCUACACGGAGCUGGAGAAGGCGGUCGUCGUCCUGGUGGAAAACUUCUACAAAUAUGUGUCCAAGCACAGCCUGGUCAAGAACAAGAUCAGCAAGAGUAGCUUCCGGAAGAUGCUUCAGAAAGAGCUCAACCAUAUGCUGACGGACACGGGGAACCGAAAGGCUGCUGACAAGCUUAUCCAGAACCUGGAUGCCAAUCAUGAUGGGCGCAUCAGCUUUGAUGAGUACUGGACCUUGAUAGGGGGCAUCACGAGCCCCAUCGCCAACCUCAUCCGCCAGCAGGAACAGCAAAGCAGCAGCUAGAGGACCCCAUCCCCCUGCCCCCACACCGUCCCCAACCCCAAUGCUCUUCCUAGGCUCCCUCCUCAGCCUCCUCUGCCCACCCAGGCCCCUGUCCUCUCUUCUCUCUCUAGACCUACUGACCUUGGCUGAACAGGGGCAGAGCAGGGAUGUCAGGGUCCCUUUGUGAGUUUCUCAGUCUGGGGGAGCACCAGCAGAGACCUCUCCCCUUUCCC
rnacentral:lncRNA from 9 species